AACGAACGCUGGCGGCAUGCCUAACACAUGCAAGUCGAACGAGACCUUCGGGUCUAGUGGCGCACGGGUGCGUAACGCGUGGGAAUCUGCCCUUGGGUUCGGAAUAACAGUUGGAAACGACUGCUAAUACCGGAUGAUGACGUAAGUCCAAAGAUUUAUCGCCCAAGGAUGAGCCCGCGUAGGAUUAGCUAGUUGGUGAGGUAAAGGCUCGCCAAGGCGACGAUCCUUAGCUGGUCUGAGAGGAUGAUCAGCCACACUGGGACUGAGACACGGCCCAGACUCCUACGGGAGGCAGCAGUGGGGAAUAUUGGACAAUGGGCGAAAGCCUGAUCCAGCAAUGCCGCGUGAGUGAUGAAGGCCUUAGGGUUGUAAAGCUCUUUUACCCGGGAUGAUAAUGACAGUACCGGGAGAAUAAGCUCCGGCUAACUCCGUG
rnacentral:rRNA from 1 species